UCUGAUGAGCUAGUUGGUGGGGUAAAGGCCCACCAAGGCGACGAUCAGUAGCUGGUCUGAGAGGACGACCAGCCACACUGGAACUGAGACACGGUCCAGACUCCUACGGGAGGCAGCAGUGGGGAAUUUUGGACAAUGGGGGCAACCCUGAUCCAGCAAUGCCGCGUGAGUGAAGAAGGCCUUCGGGUUGUAAAGCUCUUUUGUCAGGGAAGAAACGGUGAGUUCUAAUACAACUUGCUAAUGACGGUACCUGAAGAAUAAGCACCGGCUAACUACGUGCCAGCAGCCGCGGUAAUACGUAGGGUGCAAGCGUUAAUCGGAAUUACUGGGCGUAAAGCGUGCGCAGGCGGUUUUGUAAGUCAGAUGUGAAAUCCCCGGGCUCAACCUGGGAAACUGCAUUUGAGACUGCAAGGUCUAGAGUGCGUCAGAGGGGGGUAGAAAUUCCACGUGUAGCAGUGAAAUGCGUAGAUAUGUGGGAGGAAUUACCGAUGGGCGAAAGGCAGCCCCCCUGGGAUAACACUGACGCUCAUGCACGAAAGCGUGGGGGAGCAAACAGGAUUAGAUACCCCUGUAGUCCACGCCCCUAAAACGGAUGU
rnacentral:rRNA from 1 species